CGGCAGAGGGGGGUGGAAUUCCACGUGUAGCAGUGAAAUGCGUAGAGAUGUGGAGGAACACCGAUGGCGAAGGCAGCCCCCUGGGCCGAUACUGACGCUCAUGCACGAAAGCGUGGGUAGCAAACAGGAUUAGAUACCCUGGUAGUCCACGCCCUAAACGAUGUCAACUAGGUGUUGGGUGGGUAAAACCAUUUAGUACCGGAGCUAACGCGUGAAGUUGACCGCCUGGGGAGUACGGCCGCAAGGUUAAAACUCAAAGGAAUUGACGGGGACCCGCACAAGCGGUGGAUGAUGUGGAUUAAUUCGAUGCAACGCGAAAAACCUUACCUACCCUUGACAUGUCCAGAAGCUCUUAGAGAUUUGAGUGUGCCCGAAAGGGAGCUGGAACACAGGUGCUGCAUGGCUGUCGUCAGCUCGUGUCGUGAGAUGUUGGGUUAAGUCCCGCAACGAGCGCAACCCUUGUCGUUAAUUGCCAUCAUUUAGUUGGGCACUUUAACGAGACUGCCGGUGACAGACCGGAGGAAGGUGGGGAUGACGUCAAGUCCUCAUGGCCCUUAUGGGUAGGGCUUCACACGUCAUACAAUGGUCGGUACAGAGGGUUGCCAAGCCGCGAGGUGGAGCCAAUCCCAGAAAGCCGAUCGUAGUCCGGAUUGCAGGCUGCAACUCGCCUGCAUGAAGUCGGAAUCGCUAGUAAUCGCGGAUCAGCAUGUCGCGGUGAAUACGUUCCCGGGUCUUGUACACACCGCCCGUCACACCAUGGGAGCGGGUUCCGCCAGAAGUAGGUAGCCUAACCGCAAGGAGGGCGCUUACCACGGCGGGGUUCGUGACUGGGGUG
rnacentral:rRNA from 1 species